GAUGAACGCUGGCGGCGUGCCUAAUACAUGCAAGUCGAGCGAACAGACGAGGAGCUUGCUCCUCUGACGUUAGCGGCGGACGGGUGAGUAACACGUGGAUAACCUACCUAUAAGACUGGGAUAACUUCGGGAAACCGGAGCUACUACCGGAUAAUAUAUUGAACCGCAUGGUUCAAUAGUGAAAGACGGUUUUGCUGUCACUUAUAGAUGGAUCCGCGCCGCAUUAGCUAGUUGGUAAGGUAACGGCUUACCAAGGCAACGAUGCGUAGCCGACCUGAGAGGGUGGUCGGCCACACUGGAACUGAGGCACGGUCCAGACUCCUACGGGAGGCAGCAGUAGGGAAUCUUCCGCAAUGGGCGAAAGCCUGACGGAGCAACGCCGCGUGAGUGAUGAAGGUGUUCGGAUCGGAAAACUCUGUUAUUAGGGAAGAACAAAUGUGUAAGUAACUAUGCACGUCUUGACGGUACCUAAUCAGAAAGCCACGGCUAACUACGUG
rnacentral:rRNA from 1 species